rnacentral:tRNA from 1 species
GGGGCUGUAGCUCAGUGGUAGAGCGAGUGCCUUACACAUAUGAGGCACUGUGUUCAAUCUUCAGCACCA